UAUGUCCGUAGUUGUCCACGUGUAUUGAUAUGAGUGAAGAAAUGUCGUGGCGUUUGACUGCUAGUUGGUGUUCAUGUAGGCGAAGAUGCAGAGGGCGUCCGCUUUGUCCAAUAUAGUGUUUGUUGCAGUUGGUACAAUUUAUCUUGUAGAUGAUGUUUGUUUUGUUCUCUUUUGCCAUUUCAUCUUUCGGUUUGCAUAGAAUUGAGUGGAGGGACUUUGUUAGUUUGUGGGCUACACCUAUUCCGAAGGUUUUCAGCAGCCUUGUUGUCGUUUCCGAUAUGCCCUUUCUGUAUGGUAGGGUGAUCCUUUUGUUGAUUUUUAUACUUGAUUUCGUUUCUGAUGGUGUGUGCGACUGGUAUUUUUUGAUGAAACUGAUUGGAUAGCCGUUCUUUUGAAGAAUGGUUUUCAGGUGUUUUUCUUCAUUUUUUCGUGCUGUGAUUGUAUUGCAGUGUGUUCUCGCCCUCUUGAACAAAGUUCGUACACAGUUGAUUUUGUGAGUUCUUGGGUUGUUGUUAUUGUAGUUGAGAAUUUGAUCGGUGUGGGUCGGCUUCCUGUGCACUUGAGUCUCUAGUUUUCCUGUGUCAGUUCUGGUGAUUAAUAAAUCUAAGAAUGGUAACUUGUUGUCCAACUCUUGUUCCUUUGUGAACUUGAUGUCAUUGAAGACAUUGUUAAUCUGCUUGUAGGUGUUUUCGUCUACAUAACGAAUCCAAAUUUUUGGUUUGAUCACUGGUAGAAUUGUGGUUUCUAGUCGUUGCAUUACUGCAUCCUCGGUGAGUCCUGAUAUUGGUGAUCCCAUUGGUGUCCCUUUCGUUUGUUUGUUGAUUUUGUUAUUGAAUUGGAAAUAUGUUGUUAGACAUAGAUCGAUGAGUUCAAGUAGGCUUUGACUUUGACCAUCCAGCUCAGAGAACAAACCAACAUCAAAAUCACCCACCUGAGCUACAAAUCUUCUCCACCAUCUCAAAAUCAUAGGAGCUUAGUACGCUUCUCGUUUUUCGAAAAUGGGAGAAUUUCUCCAAAAGUCAAGCUUCCACUCGAGAACAACUAUAUUUUCUCCACGAGUGCAUUCGCCAGCAUGUUCUGCCAACAAGUGUAUGAUACAGACCUCCAAUCAACUGCCCACUAGGAUGGAAAAUAACUGAGCAAAGUUGAAGAAAAAUGGUUCAUCUAAUGAUAAUGGACACACAUUACAGGAUCCGCAAAUACCCACAUGUCACAGAGGACCAAAAGAGGAAGCUACAAUAGACAUUCACACCAGAACACUUCGAAACCUUGACAACAGUCAUCGAAACAUUAUGCAAAAGACACAGAGAAAAAAGAAGAAACAUCCUUAAAAAGAAAAUAAUCAAAAUCUCAAAACUGACCAUUGAUCGUAAGGCACUGUUGUGUUUAGGGUGGCUUCAGGCAUUACUGCUCUGUCCCAAGUUCAGCAAUGAGUACGGCUUCCCAUUCUGGCCUAAAGAGGGUGAAAGGCCCGUGGGGGCAGAGAUCAAGUGUGACAGUUUUGCUCUGAGCUACCCUUGGAGUCGGGUUGUUUGUGAAUGCACUCCAAUGGGUGGUAAACUCCAUCCAAGGCUGAAUACUUACACGAGUCGCACGAAAUUGAGCAAUAACAGGUCUGUGAUGCCCUUAGAUGGCCGGGGCCACACGUGUGCUAUAUUAAUGGUGCCAGCGAUUCUGGAAACCUGGCCUGAAAUUGUUGGGCAAACUGUUUCAUCACCGUCGUGACUGGGAUCGGGGCUUGCAAUUAUUCCCCGUAAACGAGGAAUUCCUGGUAAAUGCAAGUGAUAAGCUUGCGCUGAUUACGUCCCUGCCCUUUGUACACACCGCCAGUCACUACUACCGAUUGAAUGGUUUAGUGAGGUCGUUGGAUUGACGUCGUUGUAGUGUCUUUGCCGCUCGACUGAUGCUGAGAAGAUGACCUAAUUUGACUAUUUAGAGGAAGUAAAAGUCGUAACAAGGUUUCCGUAGGUG
rnacentral:rRNA from 1 species